rnacentral:lncRNA from 1 species
AAUUGAGUUCAAUUACAAACCAUGAACUAAGUAGUGACUUAUUUCUGCAAUCUCUGUCAGAGAAAGUUAUUCAUAACUAAUUAUGAAUUUAACGUGAAUAAGCUUGAAUGCACAAUUAUUGAGUUGCUUAAUAUGCUUAAGACUGUUAAGCCCAACAUCAAAGUUAGUAGUGGGCAAACCAUUGAUUCCUUUAAAGAUAUUAAGAGGAAGUCUAAAGGGGCUUUGUGAAAGCACCCAAUAUGGUUAAGACAGUAUAAGCGAAAGGACAAAUACCAAAUCUAAUGACCCUUGAUUUCAUUAUAGAAUGAGAGGUCAUUGGAAGGAAUAUUGUAUGACUUACGUCUACUUCACGAGUUUCUUAGGUAUAUGAUACCAG